rnacentral:rRNA from 1 species
UAGGGAAUCUUGGGCAAUGGGGGGAACCCUGACCGAGCAACGCCGCGUGAGUGAAGAAGGCUUUCGGAUCGUAAAGCGCUGUUGUUAGGGAAGAACGAGUGUGAGAAUGGAAAGUUCAUACAGUACGGGUACUUAACCAGAAAGGGAGGGCAAACUAGGUGCCAGCAGCCGCGGUAAUACGUAGGUGCCGGGGGUUGUCCGGAUUUAUUGGGCGUAAAGCGAGCGCAGGCGGUUAGAUAAGUCUGAAGUUAAAGGCACUGGCUCAACCAUUGUAUGCUUUUGAAACUGUUUAACUUGAGUGCAGAAGGGGUGAGUGGAAUUCCAUGUGUAGCGGUGAAAUGCGUAGAUAUAUGGAGGAACACCAGUGGCGAAAGCGGCUCUCUGGUCUGUAACUGACGCUGAGGCUCGAAAGCGUGGGGAGCGAACAGG